rnacentral:rRNA from 1 species
UGGGGAAUAUUGGACAAUGGGCGCAAGCCUGAUCCAGCCAUGCCGCGUGNGUGAAGAAGGUCUUCGGAUUGUAAAGCNCUUUUGUUAGGGAGGAAGGGCAGGNGGUUAAUACCUUGNNGUACUGACGGUACCCACAGAAUAAGCACCGGCUAACUUCGUGCCAGCAGCCGCGGUAAUACGGAGGGUGCAAGCGUUACUCGGAAUUACUGGGCGUAAAGCGCGCGUAGGUGGUUGNUUAAGUNUGNUGUGAAAUCCCCGGGCUCAACCUGGGAACUGCANUGGAAACUGGC